rnacentral:rRNA from 1 species
UAGUACACUUAAAUUUAAUUAGUAAGUAUUAGAAUAUUAGAAGUUAUGUUCUUUAAAUUUAAAAAAUUUGGCGGUGUUUUAGUCUAGUUAGAGGAACCUGUUUUAUAAACGAUACAACACGCAUUAUCUUACUUAUCUUAGUAACUCAGUUUGUAUACCGUCAUUAUAAGAUAAUUUAGGAGAAAAUAUUAUUAAAACCACAUUAUUGAGUAUAUUAGAUCAAGGUGCAGCUUAUGGAUAAGCAAGCAUGGGUUACAAUAAAAUUUAUUUAAAUGGAUUAGAUAUUUAAAUAUAUUUAUGAAGGAGGAUUUAAUUGUAAGAAAAGGAAUAGCAAGAUUUUCUGAUAAAAGCUCUAAAUUAUGUACAUAU